CUGAACUUCCAUGAUUGAUUUUUAAAAUAAGCUUGAUUCAUAAUCUCUAAAAAUUCAGAAACUCAUACCGGAAGUACAAAAAUAUCAAACUAACACGCUAGUGUAAUUAUUCAACCAACAUUCAAAUCUCUAUGCGUAAGCUAAUUUGAAUCAUGUGAUAUAUAAAACCAAUUUCUACCCAAACUCAAAAACAUUGAUGAAUGCUCAGGCCUAAAUUAAAAGAUACACACUCGAGUUAAAGUUCAUACUGAACAUAUACUGAUGCACUUUAAAAUGAUAAACUGCCCCAAUCCCACUUCACAUACCAGCUUAUCUUUAACUGUAACAACUUUGUUACAACACCAUACUACCAUGAUUUAGUCCAUUAACCUAUCAAGGUGUCAAAAACAAUUGGCCCUUCAGCAGAGACCAGAUCUAUUGGAUUGAAUACAUGGAGAACAGUAAUUCUACUAACAACUCUAUUAUAAUUCCAAUGUAAAACUCAUAUCAACAUAACUUCAUAUCAACAUGCUGAGCUAGGGGGAUUAACAUAACCUUGCGAGAAAUAAACUACACAAGAAGAAACUCUAAUAUCUAACAACAAAGAACAUGAUCUUCAUAUGACUCCGUCACAAACACUUCACAAGCCAUUUUUACAUGCUUAAAGUCAAAAGUGUAUGCCUGGAGAGUAAUAAAAAUAAGAAAGAGGUGUCAGCCGCAGUAGAAUAGUGUCAGUUGCAGUGUUAACCCAGAAAUAAUCAAGAGAAAACUAGCCUUGAGGUAGGUUCAAACCAACAGAAAUCUCAGACAAUGUCAGCAACCAAAAGUCAACCCAACUUAACCAAAAAACUCUUGAAAACCAACAUAAAUCAUGUCAUUUUAACCCUUAAUUAUCCGAAAUGAUUUACGAAGUAGGAACCUAAAAGAUCACUCAUUUUUUAAUGGAACAGUGUUCUCUUAAUUAUUUUCAGUCGCUUGAUAUUGUUUCUGAUUUUGUAGCAUCUCAAAAACCUCAAUUGAGCUGCACAAAAUUAUGCUUAUAGGCAAGUUACAAGGGUAUCCUUAGGGGUUUUGUUUUUUUCAUUUUAGACCUUUUCCAAUUUUUUCGUUUUCUAGUUAGUCCCUUAUUUCCUGACUUGUGGAUCAAGCUAGCCUAUUACAAGUUUGAAUUUCAUUUAAUAUCCCCCACCCAAGCUCCAAGCUUCGUAAACUACCCUUGAAACCUUGUCAAUUUACUCUACUACUCAAGCGGACCAUAGGUCUAAAUGACUAAGCCAAUUGGGCUACACUGACCCAAAUUGAAUCUCAGAUUGGGCCUCUACUCUUUGAAGCACAAAUUGUUGUUCAAGAGACCACAAGUCACAAAUGGGUAAGCCAUGUGGUCAAGUUCCAAAGGAGUCUAACCAACCCACAACGGUAGAAGGGUCAGCAAAGCAGAGGACUUGUCUGAAGAACUCAAAUGAUUCCAAAACAACAAACCAAUUCAGAUCACCUAUCAACAAUUAUGACUCAAAUGAAUUAUAGCAACUCAACUCGAAUGACUACUUAAAAAUUUUAGUACAAAUCAACAAAACAAAAUAAAACAGAAUUUACUCGAAACCACUGCCAAUACUAAACUAAAAAAAAUAUAGGGGCAAGAAAAUAUAGAAUGAAGAUGGAGAAGAAAAGACUUCAGAGAGACAUGGUCAAGAAAUACCUAGAGUUUGAAAUCAUCAGCAUGAAAAGAUUAUUCGGUAACCUCGGAUUUGACCCAAAACAGGCAUUAGUUGCACGUUCUCUUUGAAAACACGUGACCAAUACUAGUUCCGAGCCCAAUAGCUUAUGUAAACUCGAAAGCUGGGAAGGCCUCCUUAUCCCCUAUUUUAUAUCCGUGACUAACCCUAUUUGAAGAGGAUUUUAGGAGAGGAGAUGGCGGGCUGGGACUAGAGGGUGAAUGAGGGUUGUGGGGUUAGUUUUUGGUGGUGUCUUUGGGAGGCCAAUCGGUGGUAAGAGUGGUGGAAUUAUUAAGGCUGCUGGAUGAAAGACGUGAAAGAAACAAGGGUGUGUUUGAAAUUGAAACUGAUCUCUACAUUCGUUCAUACAUUAAUAUGAGGCAAAAGGGAUAGCUCUAGGACCGUCCGGUCAUUAAAGAUUAAUGUCCA
rnacentral:lncRNA from 1 species